AGCCCAGCGGAACACCCUAGAAGCCUCACCCAAGAAGUGAGCAGGGUUUCAGUUAGCCCAUGUCAUGGGUGCUUCUAGACAUUA
rnacentral:snoRNA from 1 species